rfam:Schistosoma rodhaini strain Burundi genome assembly, scaffold: SROB_scaffold0001077
ACUUAACUGAUGAGUUCUAAACAGGAGGAAAUGCGAGUCCUGGAU